GAUGAACGCUGGCGGCGUGCCUAAUACAUGCAAGUCGAGCGAACAGAUGAGGAGCUUGCUCUUCUGACGUUAGCGGCGGACGGGUGAGUAACACGUGGAUAACCUACCUAUAAGACUGGGAUAACUUCGGGAAACCGGAGCUAAUACCGGAUAAUAUAUUGAACCGCAUGGUUCAAUAGUGAAAGACGGUUUUGCUGUCACUUAUAGAUGGAUCCGCGCCGCAUUAGCUAGUUGGUAAGGUAACGGCUUACCAAGGCAACGAUGCGUAGCCGACCUGAGAGGGUGAUCGGCCACACUGGAACUGAGACACGGUCCAGACUCCUACGGGAGGCAGCAGUAGGGAAUCUUCCGCAAUGGGCGAAAGCCUGACGGAGCAAUGCCGCGUGAGUGAUGAAGGUCUUCGGAUCGUAAAACUCUGUUAUUAGGGAAGAACAAAUGUGUAAGUAACUAUGCACGUCUUGACGGUACCUAAUCAGAAAGCCACGGCUAACUACGUG
rnacentral:rRNA from 1 species